UACUCAGCUCUGCGCCUCCCUGAGCUUCCAGCUCUCUCGGUCGGCGGUUUGGGCAGCGCGGUACUCGGGAGAAUGAACAAGACCUGUGAAAUGAAAUACAGAAUGAUGGACAGCCCUUUGGGGAAGAUCGAGAUCUCUGGCUGUGAGCAGGGUCUGCACGGGAUAAAGCUGCAUGGCCAGAAGAUCCCAGACACUGACCCCGUGGAGGCCCCCGCCCCUCCCGAGCGGCUCGGAGGUCCAGAGGAGGUGACGGAGCCCCUGGCGCAGUGUGCGGCGUGGCUGGGCGCCUAUUUCCACGCGCCCGCGGCCCUCGAGGAGCUGCCCGUGCCUGCUCUUCACCAUCCCAGUUUCCAGCAAGAUUCGUUCACCAGACGGGUGCUAUGGAAGCUGCUGAAGGCUGUGAAAUUCGGAGAAACGGUUUCUUACCAGCAAUUAGCGGCCCUGGCGGGCAACCCCAAAGCAGCGCGGGCCGUGGGAGAGGCAAUGAGAAAGAAUCCUUACAGAACUUUCUUCAAGGAAAGCAAGAGGGCCUUAAGCCUAUUUCAGCUCUACUGUUGACUUGUUAAAAAACAUAUGCGAGUCAUGCCGCAGGUGCUGGCAGAGCCUGACGCCCUCUGCGUGAGGAACCCCGGGAACCGCUCAGGGGGCACAGACCCCUCCCCGAUGGCUGCGGACAUGGCCUGCUCAGCCCCACGGCUGCUGUACGGGGGCGGGCUGCCUCCAGGGGCUCAGCUGCAAAGAGGGAAGGUGGGGAGUGAUAAAGACCUUUCAUAAGUCUUUUCGAAGGCAUCUCGAGUGCUUCUGGACAGCGGAUCUUUCCAGAGUGCUUGCUCUACCAACUGCCUGCAAGAGCGGGUACAAAGUUCAAGGUCUCUACCUUGUCUGUGGCAUUGAUGCAGACUGAGGUGAACAAACCCGAGGAGUUAGAUGGAAGGGAAUUGGGUUUGGCUUUUGUUUCAACCUUUAAAGGUCCUCCUGCCUCCUGCAAGUCCCAGCCCUCACCAGCCACCCAGACAGAUGGCUUCUCAUGACUCCAUCUUAUUGCUAUUUCAGUUCAGAGGUUCUGGGAGUACUCUUGACUUUGAUUUUAACACUGCCUCUUCUCUUUGUCCCUGAAACCAUUCCUCUCUUUCUCACGGCUGGGGAGUCAUCGUAUCUUAGGGUCCCCAGCCAUCCUGGUUUGCACUUUCACGUGUGUGAGUGGGGAGUCACUUCUUUUACCGUGUGCAUAUCCACACACUCAGCACAACUCAUGGAAAAGACCACCCUUCCCAUUGCACUACAGUGUCACUUUUGUUACAGGUCAGAUGACCAUGUACAUGGAGUCUGCUUCUGAACUUUAUAUUCCAUUAGGUCAUUUGCCUAGUCUUGUUCCAGCACCCCACUGUCUUAAUUACUGUAGUCUCAUAAGAAAUCUUGUUUGCACAGCGUUAGGGACUGAAUGUUUGUGUGUCUCCCCCCCCCCCAAUUCAUAUGUUGGAGCCCUAACCCCCAACGUGAUGGUAUUUGGAAGUGGGGCCUGAGAUUACACUGAUUUUAUGGAUCAUUUUAGGGAGAAUUGGCAUCUUUUCAUUAUGAAGUUUUCCAAUCCAUGAAUAUGGUAUAUGCGUCCAUUUAUUAAGAUUUUCAAAAAUUUCUCUCAACAAUUUUGUGGUUUCCUGUGCAGACAUCUUGCAUAACUUUGGUAGC